CAGUAGCCGCGGGAAUACAGAGGGUGCGAGCGUUAAUCGGAUUUACUGGGCAUAAAGCGUGCGUAGGCGGCUUUUUAAGUCGGAUGUGAAAUCCCUGAGCUUAACUUAGGAAUUGCAUUCGAUACUGGGAAGCUAGAGUAUGGGAGAGGAUGGUAGAAUUCCAGGUGUAGCGGUGAAAUGCGUAGAGAUCUGGAGGAAUACCGAUGGCGAAGGCAGCCAUCUGGCCUAAUACUGACGCUGAGGUACGAAAGCAUGGGGAGCAAACAGGAUUAGAUACCCCCGUAGUCCCUGUCUCUUAUAC
rnacentral:rRNA from 1 species